CCCAGUAGUGAAAGUGCACACUGCCUGUGCCCUGGUCAUUGAUAGUGCAGGGAGAGGAAUCGCUGAAAGCCUUUCCCCGUGUUUGGAGGGUCCAAAAA
rnacentral:snoRNA from 1 species